rnacentral:rRNA from 1 species
ACUCCUACGGGAGGCAGCAGUAGGGAAUCUUCCACAAUGGGCGCAAGCCUGAUGGAGCAACACCGCGUGAGUGAAGAAGGGUUUCGGCUCGUAAAGCUCUGUUGUUAAAGAAGAACACGUAUGAGAGUAACUGUUCAUACGUUGACGGUAUUUAACCAGAAAGUCACGGCUAACUACGUGCCAGCAGCCGCGGUAAUACGUAGGUGGCAAGCGUUAUCCGGAUUUAUUGUGCGUAAAGAGAGUGCAGGCGGUUUUCUAAGUCUGAUGUGAAAGCCUUCGGCUUAACCGGAGAAGUGCAUCGGAAACUGGAUAACUUGAGUGCAGAAGAGGGUAGUGGAGCUCCAUGUGUAGCGGUGGAAUGCGUAGAUAUAUGGAAGAACACCAGUGGCGAAGGCGGCUACCUGGUCUGCAACUGACGCUGAGACUCGAAAGCAUGGGUAGCGAACAGGAUUAGAUACCCUGGUAGGAUAGCG